rnacentral:tRNA from 1 species
GGUGGCUCAGUGGUAAAGUGCUUGCUUUGUAUGCAUGAGGUCCUGGGUUCAAUUCCUCAGCACCA